AUUGAACGCUGGCGGCAGGCCUAACACAUGCAAGUCGAGCGGAUGAAGGGAGCUUGCUCCUGGAUUCAGCGGCGGACGGGUGAGUAAUGCCUAGGAAUCUGCCUGGUAGUGGGGGAUAACGUCCGGAAACGGGCGCUAAUACCGCAUACGUCCUGAGGGAGAAAGUGGGGGAUCUUCGGACCUCACGCUAUCAGGUGAGCCUAGGUCGGAUUGGCUAGUUGGUGGGGUAAAGGCCUACCAAGGCGACGAUCCGUAACUGGUCUGAGAGGAUGAUCGGUCACACUAGAACGGGGCCACGGUCCAGAGUCCUACGGGAGGGAGCAGUGGGGAAUAUUAGACAAUGGGCGAAAGCCUGAUCCAGCCAUGCCGCGUGUGUGAAGAAGGUCUUCGGAGUGUAAAGCACUUUAAGUUGGGAGGAAGGGCAGUAAGUUAAUACCUUGCUGGUUUGACGUUACCAACAGAAUAAGCACCGGCUAACUUCGUG
rnacentral:rRNA from 1 species